rnacentral:rRNA from 1 species
UAAUCCUGUUUGCUACCCACGCUUUCGUACCUCAGCGUCAGUAUUGGUCCAGAAAGUUGCCUUCGCCAUUGAUGUUCCUUCUGAUAUCUACGCAUUUCACCGCUACACCAGAAAUUCCACUUUCCUCUACCAUACUCUAGUUGACCAGUUUCAAAUGCAGUUCCCAGGUUAAGCCCGGGGCUUUCACAUCUGACUUAAUAAACCGCCUACGCACGCUUUACGCCCAGUAAUUCCGAUUAACGCUUGCACCCUCCGUAUUACCGCGGCUGCUGGCACGGAGUUAGCCGGUGCUUCUUCUAAAGUUAACGUCAAGGCUAAUGGCUAUUAACCACUAGCUUUUCUUCACAAUUGAAAGUGCUUUACAACCCUCAGGCCUUCUUCACACACGCGGUAUUGCUGGAUCAGGGUUGCCCCCAUUGUCCAAUAUUCCCCACUGCUGCCUCCCGUAGGAGUUCGGGCCGUGUCUCAGUCCCGAUGUGGCUGAUCAUCCUCUCAGACCAGCUAAAGAUCGUCGCCUUGGUAGGCUUUUACCCUACCAACUAGCUAAUCUUACGCAGGCUCAUCUGGUAGCGUGAGGCUCGAAAGUCCCCCACUUUACUACGAAUAGAUUAUGCGGUAUUAAUCCGAAUUUCUUCGGGCUAUCCCCCACUAUCAGGUAGAUUCCUACGCGUUACUCACCCGUCCGCCACUCGACGCCUACUAGCAAGCUAGUAUCGUUUCCGUUCGACUUGCAUGUGUUAAGCCUGCCGCCAGCGUUCAAUCUGAGCCAGGAUCAAACUCU